GACGAACGCUGGCGGCGUGCUUAACACAUGCAAGUCGAACGGAAAGGCCCUGCUUUUGUGGGGUGCUCGAUUGGCGAACGGGUGAGUAACACGUGAGUAACCUGCCCUUGACUUUGGGAUAACUUCAGGAAACUGGGGCUCUUACCGGGUAGGAUCUCCUGCUGCAUGGUGGGGGUUGGAAAGUUUCGGCGGUUGGGGCUGGACUCGCAGCUUAUCAGCUUGUUUGUGGGGUAGUUGCUUACCAAGGCUUUGAAGGGUAGCCGGCCUGGGAGGGUGACCGGCGACAUUGGGACUGAGAUACGGCCCAGACUCCUACGGGAGGCAGCAGUGGGGAAUAUUGCACAAUGGGCGGAAGCCUGAGGCGGCAACGCUGCGAGCGGGAUGACGGCCUUCGGGUUGUAAACCGCUGUCGCCGGUGACGAAGCGUGAGUGACGGUAAUGGGUAAAGAAGCACCGGCUAACUACGUG
rnacentral:rRNA from 1 species